AGCAUAUCAAUAAGCGGAGGAAAAGAAACCAACAGGGAUUGCCCUAGUAACGGCGAGUGAAGCGGCAAUAGCUCAAAUUUGAAAUCUGGCUCUUUCAGGGUCCGAGUUGUAAUUUGCAGAGGGCGCUUUGGCGUUGGCAGCGGUCCAAGUUCUUUGGAACAGGACGUCACAGAGGGUGAGAAUCCCGUACGUGGUCGCUAUCCUUCGCCGUGUAAAGCCCCUUCGACGAGUCGAGUUGUUUGGGAAUGCAGCUCUAAAUGGGAGGUAAAUUUCUUCUAAAGCUAAAUACUGGCCAGAGACCGAUAGCGCACAAGUAGAGUGAUCGAAAGAUGAAAAGCACUUUGGAAAGAGAGUCAAAUAGCACGUGAAAUUGUUGAAAGGGAAGCGCUUGCAGCCAGACUUGCCUGUAGUUGCUUAUCUGGACUUUUGUCCGGUGCACUCUUCUGCGGGCAGGCCAGCAUCAGUUUGGGCAGUUGGAUAAAGGUCUCUGUCAUGUACCUCUCUUCGGGGAGGCCUUAUAGGGGAGACGACAUGCAACUAGCCUGGACUGAGGUCCGCGCAUCUGCUAGGAUGCUGGCGUAAUGGCUGUAAGCGGCCCGUCUUGAAACACGGACCAAGGAGUCUAACAUCUAUGCGAGUGUUUGGGUGUCAAGCCCAGACGCGUAAUGAAAGUGAACGGAGGUGGGAACCCUUUGGGUGCACCAUCGACCGAUCCUGAUGUCUUCGGAAGGAUUUGAGUAAGAGCAUGGCUGUUGGGACCCGAAAGAUGGUGAACUAUGCUUGAAUAGGGUGAAGCCAGAGGAAACUCUGGUGGAGGCUCGCAGCGGUUCUGACGUGCAAAUCGAUCGUCAAAUUUGGGCAUAGGGGCGAAAGACUAAUCGAACUAUCUAGUAGCUGGUUCCUG
rnacentral:rRNA from 1 species